rnacentral:rRNA from 1 species
CCUACGGGAGGCAGCAGUGGGGAAUAUUGCACAAUGGGGGAAACCCUGAUGCAGCGACGCCGCGUGAGUGAAGAAGUAAUUCGUUAUGUAAAGCUCUAUCAGCAGGGAAGAAAAUGACGGUACCUGAGCAAGAAGCCCCGGCUAACUACGUGCCAGCAGCCGCGGUAAUACGUAGGGGGCAAGCGUUAUCCGGAUUUACUGGGUGUAAAGGGAGCGUAGACGGCAGUGCAAGUCUGGAGUGAAAGGCGGGGGCUCAACCCCCGGACUGCUCUGGAAACUGUACGGCUGGAGUGCAGGAGAGGGAAGUAGAAUUCCUAGUGUAGCGGUGAAAUGCGUAGAUAUUAGGAGGAACACCAGUGGCGAAGGCGGCUUACUGGACUGUAACUGACGUUGAGGCUCGAAAGCGUGGGGAGCAAACAGGAUUAGAUACCCUAGUAGUC